GGCCAGGGUGGGAGGUGUGUGCGCGCGUGUGCCGCGCUGUAGGGAGCUGCGGGUCUCACCCGCCCGCUGUCAGCCAGCUCAACGCCGCCGCGCGAUGGCUGGAGGAGACGCGCGGGACCAGCCCCGUGGGGCCGGCCGCGGGUGAGCCCCUCGCCGCCUCCUGCGAGCAUGUCACCUCCAGCCUGCGAGGUCGCUUUCGCUAGCAGUGUCCGUGCCUCCGCCUCCUGCAGCCGCAGCCGCUGCCCGGAGCAGUGGCCCCCGGACCCCCACCCCUGAUCCGCGCCCAGACCCUAGUGCCAGAGGACCAUGGCUGGCCAGGGCGACUGCUGCGUCAAAGUGGCCGUCAGGAUCAGACCCCAGCUGUCGAAGGAGAAGAUUGAAGGCUGUCACAUCUGUACCUCCGUCACCCCUGGGGAGCCCCAGGUCCUGCUGGGGAAGGACAAGGCCUUUACCUAUGACUUUGUCUUUGACCUGGACACCUGGCAGGAGCAGAUCUAUUCAACCUGUGUGAGCAAGCUCAUCGAAGGCUGCUUUGAGGGCUAUAACGCCACAGUGCUGGCCUAUGGACAGACAGGGGCUGGGAAGACAUACACUAUGGGCACCGGCUUUGACACAGUGACAUCAGAAGAGGAGCAGGGCAUCAUCCCAAGGGCCAUUGCACACCUCUUCAGGGGCAUCGAGGAACGCAAGCGGCGGGCACGGGAGCAGGGCGUCACUGGGCCUGAUUUCAAAGUCAGCGCUCAAUUCCUGGAGCUCUACAAUGAAGAGAUCCUUGACCUAUUUGAUAGCACCCGUGACCCUGAUGCCCGCCACCGCAGGUCCAACAUCAAGAUCCAUGAGGAUGCCAACGGUGGCAUCUACACCACAGGCGUCACGUCUCGUCUCAUCAACUCCCAGGAGGAGCUGAUCCAGUGCCUGAAGCAGGGCGCCCUGUCACGCACCACAGCCAGCACCCAGAUGAACGUUCAGAGCUCCCGGUCCCAUGCCAUCUUCACCAUCCACCUGUGCCAGAUGCGCGUGUGUGCCCAGCCUGACCUGGUGAACGAGACAGUGACUGGGCUUCCGGAUGGAGCGGCCCCCACUGGCACUGAGUAUGAGACUCUCACUGCUAAGUUUCACUUUGUGGAUUUGGCUGGCUCCGAGCGGCUGAAGCGGACAGGGGCCACGGGCGAACGGGCCAAGGAGGGCAUCUCCAUCAACUGUGGUCUGCUGGCCUUGGGUAAUGUGAUCAGCGCCUUGGGAGACCAAAGCAAGAAGGUGGUGCACGUGCCCUACAGGGACUCCAAGCUCACUCGGCUGCUCCAGGACUCUCUGGGGGGCAACAGCCAGACCAUCAUGAUCGCCUGUGUGAGCCCCUCGGAUCGGGACUUCAUGGAGACACUUAACACUCUCAAAUAUGCCAACCGGGCUCGCAACAUCAAAAAUAAGGUGGUGGUGAACCAGGACAAGACCAGCCAGCAGAUUAGCGCGCUGCGAGCUGAGAUUGCACGCCUGCAGAUGGAACUGAUGGAAUACAAAGCGGGCAAGCGGGUGAUUGGGGAAGACGGUGCUGAGGGCUACAGUGACCUGUUUCGGGAGAAUGCCAUGCUUCAGAAGGAGAAUGGGGCUCUGCGGCUUCGAGUGAAGGCCAUGCAGGAGGCCAUUGAUGCCAUCAACAACCGGGUCACACAACUCAUGAGCCAGGAGGCCAACCUGCUUCUGGCCAAGGCUGGUGAUGGCAAUGAGGCCAUUGGUGCUCUGAUCCAGAACUACAUCCGGGAGAUUGAGGAGCUGCGAACAAAGCUCUUGGAGAGUGAAGCCAUGAAUGAGUCUCUCCGCCGAAGCCUCUCACGGACUUCCACUCGCAAUCCCUACUCCCUGGGAGCUUCUCCAGCAGGUCCAGCCUUUGGGGGCAGCCCGGCCAGCUCCAUGGAAGAUGCUUCGGAAGUGAUCCGUAGGGCCAAGCAAGACCUGGAGCGGCUGAAAAAGAAAGAGGUCAGGCAGCGGAGGAAGAGCAGCCCAGAGAAAGAAGCCUUCAAAAAGAGGGCAAAACUCCAUCAGGAAAACAGUGAGGAGACUGAGAACGAGGCUGAGGAGGAGGAGGAAGAGCGAGACGAGAGUGGCUGUGAGGAGGAGGAAGGGCGUGAGGAUGAGGAUGAAGACUCGGGCAGCGAAGAGAGCCUGGUAGACUCAGACUCCGACCCUGAAGAAAAGGAAGUCAACUUCCAGGCAGACCUGGCAGACCUGACCUGCGAGAUUGAGAUCAAGCAGAAGUUGAUUGACGAGCUGGAGAACAGCCAGCGGCGGCUGCAGACGCUCAAGCACCAAUACGAGGAGAAGCUGAUCCUGCUGCAGAACAAGAUCCGAGACACACAGCUGGAGCGCGACCGUGUGCUGCAGAACCUCAGCACCAUGGAGUGCUACACGGAGGAGAAGGCCAACAAGAUAAAGGCGGAUUAUGAGAAGAGGCUGCGGGAGAUGAACCGGGACCUGCAGAAGCUACAGGCUGCUCAAAAGGAGCACGCCAGGCUACUCAAGAACCAGUCCCGCUACGAAAGGGAGCUGAAGAAGCUGCAAGCGGAGGUAGCUGAGAUGAAGAAGGCCAAGGUGGCCCUCAUGAAACAGAUGCGUGAGGAGCAGCAGCGGCGACGGCUGGUGGAGACCAAGAGGAACCGGGAGAUCGCUCAGCUCAAGAAAGAACAACGGAGGCAGGAGUUUCAGAUCAGGGCCCUGGAGUCUCAGAAGCGCCAGCAGGAAAUAGUCCUGAGGAGGAAGACCCAGGAGGUCUCUGCACUUAGGCGCUUGGCAAAGCCUAUGUCUGAGCGAGUGGCUGGGCGUGUAGGAUCCAAGCCCCCCAAUUUGGAUUCUGGGGCCGAGGUGUCUGCCAGUACUACCUCGUCUGAGGCUGAGUCGGGAGCUCGCUCUGUCUCCAGCAUAGUGCGCCAGUGGAACCGGAAGAUCAACCACUUCCUGGGGGACCACCCCGCGGCUGCUGUCAAUGGCACCCGCCCAGCCAGGAAAAAGUUCCAGAAGAAGGGGGCCAGCCAAAGCUUCAGUAAGGCGGCAAGACUCAAGUGGCAGUCCCUGGAACGGAGGAUCAUCGACAUUGUCAUGCAGAGGAUGACCAUUGUCAACCUGGAAGCUGACAUGGAGCGGCUCAUAAAGAAAAGGGAGGAGCUAUUCCUCCUACAGGAGGCUCUGCGGAGGAAGCGGGAGCGGCUGCAGGCUGAGAGCCCCGAGGAGGAGAAGGGGCUACAGGAGCUGGCUGAGGAGAUCGAAGUGUUGGCAGCCAACAUUGACUACAUCAAUGACAGCAUCACUGACUGCCAAGCCACCAUCAUGCAGCUGGAGGAAACCAAGGAGGAGCUGGACUCAACAGAUACGUCCGUGGUCAUUAGCUCCUGCUCGCUAGCUGAAGCCCGCCUACUUCUAGACAACUUCCUCAAGGCAUCCAUUGACAAGGGUCUACAGGUGGCCCAGAAGGAAGCCCAGAUCCGGCUGCUGGAAGGACGGCUGAGACAAACAGACAUGACGGGCUCCUCUCAGAACCACCUGCUCCUGGACGCGUUGCGUGAGAAGGCCGAGGCACACCCCGAGCUGCAGGCCCUCCUCUACAAUGUGCAGCAGGAGAAUGGCUAUGCCAGCACAGACGAGGAAGUCUCCGAGUUCUCUGAAGGAAGCUUUUCCCAAUCAUUCACCAUGAAAGGCUCCACCAGCCAUGAUGACUUCAAGUUCAAGGGUGAGCCUAAGCUAUCUGCCCAAAUGAAGGCUGUGUCUGCGGAAUGCCUGGGACCCCCGCUGGAUAGUUCCACCAAGAACAUCACCAAGUCCCUGGCCUCCCUCGUCGAGAUCAAAGAGGAUGGAGUGGGCUUCUCUAUCAGAGACCCCUACUACCGGGACAAGGUCUCACGCACUGUCAGCCUGCCCACCCGAGGCAGCACUUUCCCUCGGCAGUCUCGAGGUGCCACGGACACAUCCCCUCUGACCCGAAGAAAGUCUUAUGACCGGGGGCAGCCUAUCAGAUCCACAGACAUGGGAUUCACACCUCCAUCCUCACCUCCCACUCGGCCCCGCAAUGACCGCAACGUCUUCUCUCGUCUCACCAGCAAUCAGAGCCAGGGGUCAGCACUGGACAAGUCUGAUGACAGCGACUCCUCUUUGUCGGAGGUCCUGAGGGGCGUCAUCACCCCCAUUGGCGGAGCAAAGGGAGCACGGACGGCCCCAUUGCAGUGUGUCUCCAUGGCCGAGGGCCACACCAAGCCUAUCCUCUGCCUGGAUGCCACCGAUGAGUUGCUUUUCACAGGCUCUAAAGACCGUAGCUGCAAGAUGUGGAACCUGGUAACAGGGCAGGAGAUCGCAGCUCUCAAGGGUCACCCCAACAACGUGGUUUCUAUCAAAUACUGCAGCCAUUCCGGGCUGGUGUUCUCCGUGUCCAGCUCCUACAUCAAAGUGUGGGACAUCCGGGACUCAGCCAAGUGCGUUCGGACCCUCACGUCCUCAGGCCAGGUGAUCUCAGGAGAUGCUUGCAUAGCCACAUCCACGCGUGCCAUCACCAGUGCCCAGGGCGAGCAUCAGAUCAACCAGAUGGCCCUCAGCCCCUCAGGCACCAUGCUGUAUGUGGCCUCUGGCAAUGCUGUCCGGAUCUGGGAGCUUAACAGGUUCCAGCCCAUCGGCAAACUGACCGGCCACAUUGGCACAGUGAUGUGCCUGACAGUCACCCAGACUUCGAACCAGCAUGACCUCGUGGUGACUGGCUCCAAGGACCACUAUGUGAAGAUGUUCCAGCUGGGGGACUGUGUGAUGGGCACCAUCGGCCCAACCCACAACUUUGAGCCCCCUCACUAUGACGGUAUCGAAUGCCUGGCCAUCCAAGGAGACAUACUGUUCAGUGGCUCCAGGGACAACGGCAUCAAGAAGUGGGACCUGGAACAGCAGGAGCUCAUUCAGCAAAUCCCCAAUGCUCACAAGGACUGGGUGUGUGCCCUGGCCUAUGUUCCUGGCCGGCCCAUGCUGUUGAGCGCCUGUCGGGCAGGCUUCAUCAAGGUCUGGAAUGUGGACAACUUCACACCCAUUGGUGAGAUCAAGGGCCACGACAGCCCCAUCAACGCCAUCUGCACCAACAGCAAGCACAUCUUCACGGCCUCCAGUGACUGCCGGGUAAAGCUGUGGAAUUACGUCCCUGGACUCACCCCCUGCCUUCCUCGCCGAGUCCUGGCCAUAAAGGGCCGCGCCACCACCCUGCCCUGACCCCUCUCCAGCCCUCCCCUUUCCUCUCUCAUUCUUCCCCUCUUGCCUUUUCCUGUCUUUCCCCACCUCGAUCUGAGCUGCUUCUUCACGUGACCUGACAGUGAAGUUCUGGAGCAUGCGACGGCUACCGGUGGCCCACCCUUGAAGUUUGGACUGAGGGUGGCUAGACCCUCGGACCUGGCAGUCCACAUGGCGUGGAAGGGAAGCUGUUGCCUGACCUGAGCAGACCAGCCAGGUGCACUGAGGACAGAGGGUGUGGCCCUUCUCUUGCUCUGCUUCCUCUCACUGGCCCCUCUGUCCCUCCCCUGCCUCCUGAGAAAGGAGAGGCCGGGGAGGGAGUAAGCUGUGAAGCCAAAGGGCACGAUCCCUUCCCCCGCCCAGUUCCUUGCCCUGCCCAUAACAGGUCACACUGUCUCCUGCUGAGGCAGCCCUGCCCUUCCUCCGGGCCCUCAGCCCAGGGUGGCACUGGGAGGGAGAAGAAGUCCUCCUGCCCUCCUGCCCAUCUAUCCUCCAGUGAGCUAGCCUCUUCCAUGUCUCCCAGCCCCACCUCUGGAGCCACUGCAUCUGCCUCUGAGCCCACCAAGGUAGUUCUCAGGUAACCAUGGAAACCAGAUGUAAGCAGCUGAGUCCUGCAGCUGACCCUAAAACCCUAUGGCCACCAACCACCCACCUCAAUGGGGCCCAGUCAUUCCUUGGGGCAUCCUCUGCUGAGGGCGCGGUGGAGCUGCUUAGACAGUUCCUCUGGGGAGGUCAGCAAUACUGCAAUUAAUCUAACUUAUUGUUUUUUAUUUUUAUGUUUUGUUGUUGCCUCCUGGAAACUGACUUGAAGUUUCUUCCCAUCUUCUCCCCUGCACUCGUGGUGGGGGAGUCUUCUCUUUGGCGCUCCAGCCCCCUGCCCCACCCUCUGCUCGGUGGGCAGAGGAGGGAAAGGCCUCUUCCACCCUUUGCAGCUCUGGCCUUUGCCCCAGCUCUGCUCCACCCCGGCAAACCUUCUAGAAUAGUCCAGGUCUCUAGGCCGCCUGAUGCCGCAGUGCCUUCCUCCAUCCUGAGGCCUGGCAUCAUGCUGGGCAGCCUUAUGCCAGCCAUGCCUGCAGCCCACAUGUGUCUUUUCCUUAUGGGCCUCGUGCCCACAAACCCCGAAGGUCAGAGAGUCCACCCAAGACCAGCAGCCCAAGACCAGGGAACCCAUGCUCCCUAGAGUCCUAUGUGGUCUAGAUUGGUAGACUGUCCACUAGGUAGCGGCUUGGGUAGUAAGGCUACUAACCUAAUCAGCUAAUUAUGUUUCAGCCCUCAUGGGGACAGGAAGCCCCCACUGCUUCUUUUCCUUUAGUUAUUCUAGAAACGGAUUUUCAAGCCUUAAAACCAGCCUGGGCCAAAGGCCCUCCCUUUUAGAUUAGCAGGAGGAGGCUCAUGCUCCUUCCUUGCUUCUCCCACGGGGCUGUGGACUCAGCUGCAAGGAUGAGGUGUAAUCUGUCUGGCGCCCCCUAUAGGAACAACUCCAAAUUUAUAGGUCUAGACCUUGAGAGGGGUCACUCCAUCCCUCACCCCUGGCUUCCUCUGCCCUUAAACUGGUCCACACUUACUCCAUUGCUUCACUGAUCUCAUGCUUCCUGGCCUCGUUCCGGGAGCUGUGAACCCCAGCUCUGUUCAGAGGACAUGGUGACUUGAGGACUUUGGAUAGUUAGCAUAGCACAUCUGCAUUUGGCUCUUCUCUCUCUGUGGCCGGGUACACUGGUACCUGUCCAUGUGGCCCUGCAAUGGGAGAGUCCCUGCUGAGGACAGACCCUCUCUGAGCCAUCCCGGAGCUGUAUCGGAGACUAAGAUUAUCCCGCCUGUUGGUGGCCCCUGUCGGACAUGGUGUUAAGUCUGGGUACGUGGAUAUUCAGAAUGAUACGCCUGGAAAGCUGGUCAGCUGGAACCUAGACAGUCUGUCUGCAAUGACCAGAGAUCCUCCUUCCUCUGCUCAUCCUGAACAUGCUAAGAAACUGCCUUAGCUCUCAGAAGUGACCACGUCUUCUCCUCCACCCCUCUCCGCCUGAAUGGAAAGCCUAGACCUUACGUCCUGUAAGAAAACCCAGAACCCAUCUGCAUGAGUGUUUACAAACUCCAGAAACACAUGAGACUUAUCUGACCCCAUGGGCUGGGCUGCCCCAGCCUGGGGUGCCGUACUGUAUAGCUAGCUGCAAGGCCAGUUCUUGUACAAAGCGUGUGGUCUUACAGCCCCGCGAGAGGUGCUCACCGUCAUUGCCCCUUCCGCCAUUUCUGAUGGGUCACUACCUCAUGGCGGGGCUGCUAUGCUGUCCCAGCGAGUGUCAUUGACUAAACUUGAAAUCCUUUGGAGCUCUAAGCGCAUUGUCCCCGAGUCAUUCUGAGCUGUGUUCUGGGAAUGUUGGUGUCCCUUCCCACUCUUUCGGGGUGUCCAAGGCACACAGCCAGGAGCAGGCCCCUAGCUCCACUCAUUGCACAAGCGUCCUACGUGUUGGAAGCACAAACUGGUUGUGAUUUGAGCACAAAGCAGGUCUCGGGGUAGACAAUAUAGGCAAACAUGGGUCCAAGAGGCUUUUCGCAGAUGGGCUGAGUCUUAAGUUAGACUAGGGAUGCCCAUGCCUGUGGCUGACUAACCCAUGUACUUUUGGGACUUAUAUCACUUCUUGUGCCCAUCCUAAGACUUGAGGCCCAGGCCAUAUCUGUAUGCUGUGGGCCCCUCCCUAGACCCCCAUACCCCAGACCUAUAAAAACCCACGUAUAGCUGUACCCCACCAUACUGAGCCUGAAGAGCCUGGACCCAGGCUCCCAUCUCCUGAACUAAUGUCCACAUCCAUGCUUCCGAAGCUGAUUGGCUUCCGUCUGGAUGGAACUUGGGCCUUCUCUGCACAAUCCUGGGUCAGGACCCAUUCCAGUAUUAACCAGUUCAGUGUUUGCACUUGUUGGAGAGACUUGAUCCCACAGCGGCCAGGUCCUGGAAGGCUGUGCCUGAAUCAGCCUCUAAAGCCUGCCAAGGAGGGAGAGAAGGCAAAGAAUGAGAGGCUGACCCAGCCCAGCCCUUGAUGUGGUCAGAGUGCCACCAUCAGCUACUUGAAAAGGGACAGCUAUGGAUCUGGAAGAUGCCUCCCACCCUCGCCCCAGCUGCAGGCUUGGGCAAAGGGCAGGUUAAAGCACAGACGCACACACGCGGGGAGGAUGCUGUCUCCCGGGGGCAUCCUCGUGCUGCUCAUUGUGGUGGAGGUGCAGCAGAAAGCUGCUGUGCAAUUGGGGCAUUAUGUUCUACCCUGCUAGUUCCUGGGGACCUCCCCUGGAUUCUGGGCUGGGUGCAGCCACACACCCUUGGCUGAGCCUGGUUGGUCUGUGUGGGCAGAACCUGCCCUGCAGGAGCGGUGAAUUCCAUCCUGUCAUGUGGCCCAAACCUGUGGCAUCCGUCCCUUUGUCCUUUCAAGUUGGAAACUGCUUGCUGCUUAGAAGAAUGGCCAAUGACUCCACUGAGCCUUCCUGAGCCCAGCCGUCCCCUCCUGACUCCUGGCUCUUCACUGCUCCUUAAGUGCAAGAGACUCUGCAGGGCAAGUUCUGUUUCUUUGACAUCUUUGUUCCAUCCCCGGUGCCCACCCCUCUUCAUCUCCAGCACCCACCUGACUUCCUUUGCCUCCUCCUUCCUCCUUCAAUCCUGUGUCCUCAAGGCUUUGUCAAACAGUGGAAAGUCGGUACUGCUGAAAGCCAGAAAAGACCACUGAUGUCUUGGUGCCCCGCCCUGCCCCCAGCUCUUCCAGCCGCUGCCCCUACCCAAGCUGCGGGGUCUCUCUUGGCUCAUGCGCUCUCCCGUGACAUGGUAGCUCAAGGUGUGUAUAUGCUUUGUACCUCUUCCGAUGACUGUACAUAGGAUAUGAAAGUUAUUUAAGCCUCAUGUUGUACAUUUCUGUUCUGGAAUUGGAUAUGUGUGUUCUAAGAUAAAUAAAACUCAAAUGACCAUUG